AACCCAAGGAGAUCAUCCAGUUUCUCACUAACGAAUAUCCACUGUACAUAAUCGAUUAUUGAGCCCUGGAUACUAACUGCCUAACAAACAAACCCAAAAACUGACUGGAAUGCAAGCGAACUUGUCCUUGGUUAUGGCCUAGUGUUCACACUAGAUUUUCAACGUCCAAUAACCUCAUCCUGAAGGGACAUUGGGGUUUAUAUGUAAAUUAUCUUAGAGCAUGCUUCAGAAGAAUUACGUUAUCAAGUGCCAGAAAUUAUUAAAAUAUUUCUAUGACUUCCAGGCCCAACCCAAGGAGAUCAUCCAGUUUCUCACUAAGGGAUAUCCACUGUACAUAAUCGAUUAUUGAGUCCUGGAUACUAACUGCCUAACAAACAAACCCAAAAACUCAUCCUGGAAUGCAAGCGAACUUGUUCUUGGUUAUGGCCUAGUGUUCACACUACAUUUUCAACGUCCAAGAACCUCAUCCUGAAGGGACAUUGGGAUUUAAGUGUAAAUUAUUUUAGAGCAUGCUUCAGGCCCAACCCAAGGAGAUCAUCCAGUUUCUCACUAAGGGAUAUCCACUGUACAUAAUCGAUUUUUGAGUCCUGGAUACUAACUGCCUAGCAAACAAACCCAAAAACUCAGACUGGAAUGAAAGCGAACUUUUUCUUGGUUAUGGCCUAGUGUUCACACUAUAUUUUCAACGUCCAAGAACCUCAUCCUGAAGGGAAAUUGAGAUU